rnacentral:rRNA from 1 species
UGGGGAAUUUUGGACAAUGGGGGAAACCCUGAUCCAGCCAUGCCGCGUGAGUGAAGAAGGCCUUCGGGUUGUAAAGCUCUUUCAGACGGAAAGAAACGGUUACGGCUAAUACCCGUGACUAAUGACGGUACCGUCAGAAGAAGCACCGGCUAACUACGUGCCAGCAGCCGCGGUAAUACGUAGGGUGCGAGCGUUAAUCGGAAUUACUGGGCGUAAAGCGUGCGCAGGCGGUUUUGUAAGACAGGCGUGAAAUCCCCGGGCUUAACCUGGGAACUGCGUUUGUGACUGCAAGACUAGAGUACGGCAGAGGGGGGUAGAAUUCCACGUGUAGCAGUGAAAUGCGUAGAUAUGUGGAGGAAUACCGAUGGCGAAGGCAGCCCCCUGGGUCGAUACUGACGCUCAUGCACGAAAGCGUGGGGAGCAAACAGG